rnacentral:rRNA from 1 species
UACGUAGGGGGCAAGCGUUGUCCGGAUUUACUGGGCGUAAAGAGCGCGCAGGCGGUCGUUCAAGUCGCGUGUGAAAGCCCCCGGCUCAACUGGGGAGGGUCACGCGAUACUGAUCGACUCGAAGGCAGGAGAGGGUAGUGGAAUUCCCGGUGUAGUGGUGAAAUGCGUAGAUAUCGGGAGGAACACCAGUGGCGAAGGCGACUACCUGGCCUGUUCUUGAUGCUGAGGCGCGAAAGCUAGGGGAGCAAACGGG